GCCUGUCAGUUACUCUCCCCCUCCCCCGCCUUCUCUGCCUUGGAUGCGACCAGCUGUACUCACUCACCUCAUUACUGCCUCAGCCUUCAUAAGGAUCCCUUGGAUCUUCAGUCGACGCCAGUUCGUUGUUCCUCCAAUGGAAAAUCCAGCUCUGGUUCCCACCUGAUCGCGAUCCUCUGGUCUCUCAUGCUUUGCUUCUGGACCCGCCCUGCAAGACUCCUCCAGCCAGCCGACUCUCCUCACCCUGGGAAAAACGCCACUACUCACAUUCUGCCAAAUUAAACCUCCUAAACCUU